UACGGAGGGAGCUAGCGUUAUUCGGAAUUACUGGGCGUAAAGCGUACGUAGGCGGCUUGCAAGUUAGAGGUGAAAGCCUGGAGCUCAACUCCAGAACUGCCUUUAAAACUGCAUCGCUUGAAUCCAGGAGAGGUGAGUGGAAUUCCGAGUGUAGAGGUGAAAUUCGUAGAUAUUCGGAAGAACACCAGUGGCGAAGGCGGCUCACUGGACUGGUAUUGACGCUGAGGUACGAAAGCGUGGGGAGCAAACAGG
rnacentral:rRNA from 1 species